rnacentral:rRNA from 1 species
UACAGAGGUCUCAAGCGUUGUUCGGAUUCAUUGGGCGUAAAGGGUGCGUAGGUGGCGCUGUAAGUCGGGUGUGAAAUCUCGGAGCUUAACUCCGAAACUGCAUUCGAUAGCUGCCGGUGCUUGAGGACUGGAGAGGAGACUGGAAUUUACGGUGUAGCGGUGAAAUGCGUAGAUAUCGUAAGGAAGACCAGUGGCGAAGGCGGGUCUGCUGGACAGUUCUGACGCUGAGGCACGAAGGCCAGGGGAGCAAACGGG